ensembl:lncRNA
CUCUUAGACCUCAUUUAAGGGCUGACUGCCACAGGGGAAAGCUUCUACCAAAGAGAAAUCUCCAGGAAGAAAUCCUUCCCCUAUGAUCCUGGAAUCUUCUGAUAUGGAUUCUUGACCACAUCAAAUAUUGGCCAACUUCAUUUGUCAAAUACUCGGGAAUUUGAACUUGUGGACAUGCCAAGGUGCUUUUCCCUAUGGAGGAAGGCUCUAGCACAGUGCUCUCUUCAUCUAGAAGAAAAAUAGUAACCUUAUCAAUGAAGACCGAAACAACACCUAGCUCGGUGAACUCCGGCUCUCCUGCUGUUAUCCGUAGCGAUUAAGGAGCACAUCCCCGCGCUCUGAAUCACCGCCAGGACGAUAUCGCUCCUUAAUUCCCUCUUCCCUCUGCUGCCCCGCGGGCUCGCACGGCGCUGCUGGGCGGCCGGGGGAGGGCACAGCGGGACCGCGCAGCCCCGGCGGUACCGUUGCUAUAGCAGCGCCGCAGCGCAGCCUCGGCCGCAACUUUGGCCGCGGCGCGGGUGGGGAGCGGAGCGGAGCAGCGCGGCGUCGCCCCCCUCGCAGC